GAUAAGAACGUAGCGAAAUGCGAUACGUAAUGUGAAUUGCAGAAUUCAGUGAAUCAUCGAAUCUUUGAACGCACAUUGCGCCCGCUAGUAUUCUGGCGGGCAUGCCUGUCCGAGCGUCAUUUCAACCCAUCAAGCUUAGCGCUUGUGUUGGAGCCCUGCGGCCGCCGCAGCCUCCUAAAAUCAGUGGCGGGCUCGCUAUCACGCUGAGUGCAGUAGUAUUCUUCUCACUCCUGUGGUGUAGCGGGUAACCAGCCGUAAACCCCCCCAUCUAUAAAGGUUGACCUCGGAUCAGGUAGGAAUACCCGCUGAACUUAAGCAUAUCAAUAAGCGGAGGA
rnacentral:misc_RNA from 1 species